rnacentral:rRNA from 1 species
AUACGUAGGUGACAAGCGUUAUCCGGAUUUACUGGGCGUAAAGGGCGUGUAGGCGGUCUUGCAAGUCAGAAGUGAAAUUCCUGAGCUCAACUCGGGCGCUGCUUCUGAAACUGCAGGACUUGAGUGCUGGAGGGGAUAGCGGAAUUCCCAGUGUAGCGGUGAAAUGCGUAGAGAUUGGGAGGAACACCAGUGGCGAAGGCGACUUACUGGACUGUAACUGACGCUGAGGCGCGAAAGUGUGGGGAGCAAACAGGAUUAGAUACCCUGGUAGUCCACACUGUAAACGAUGAAUGCUAGGUGUAGGGGGUAUCGACCCCUUCUGUGCCGCAGUCAACACAAUAAGCAUUCCGCCUGGGGAGUACGGCCGCAAGGUUGAAACUCAAAGGAAUUGACGGGG